GGUUUAAUUCGAUGAUACGCGAGGAACCUUACCCGGGCUUGAACUGCAGGCGAACGAUUCAGAGAUGAUGAGGCCCUUCGGGGCGCCUGUGGAGGUGCUGCAUGGUUGUCGUCAGCUCGUGCCGUGAGGUGUCGGCUUAAGUGCCAUAACGAGCGCAACCCCUGUUCUCAGUUGCCAUCGGGUGAAGCCGGGCACUCUGUGAAGACUGCCUCCGCAAGGAGUGA
rnacentral:rRNA from 1 species